GACGAACGCUGGCGGCGUGCCUAAUACAUGCAAGUAGAACGCUGAAGAGAGGAGCUUGCUCUUCUUGGAUGAGUUGCGAACGGGUGAGUAACGCGUAGGUAACCUGCCUUGUAGCGGGGGAUAACUAUUGGAAACGAUAGCUAAUACCGCAUAACAAUGGAUGACACAUGUCAUUUAUUUGAAAGGGGCAAUUGCUCCACUACAAGAUGGACCUGCGUUGGAUUAGCUAGUAGGUGAGGUAAAGGCUCACCUAGGCGACGAUACCUAGCCGACCUGAGAGGGUGGUCGGCCCACCUGGGACUGGAACAAGGCCCAGGAUCCUUAGGGAGGCCACAGUAGGGGAUCUUCGGCAAAUGGGGCAACGCUUACCGAGCAACGCCGCGUGAGUGAAGGAAGUUUUCGGAUCGUAAAGCUCCGUUGUAAGUCAAGGACGAGAUGGGGAAUGAAAUGUUCACACUGUGACGGUAGCUAACCAGAAAGGGACGGCUAACUACGUG
rnacentral:rRNA from 1 species